UGUGACCAGACUUGCGCCGUGCGGAUCUCCCGGUGUUCUCACCGGUGCACUCCGUACGGUUCAGGCCAGCGUCGGUUUUCGGCGGGGGACAAAAGCGGUGGGAAUGUGGCUCCCCCGGGAGCGUUAUAGCCCGCCGCAGAAUACCCCGCCGGGGACCGAGGACCGCGCUCUGCUCGGACGCUGGCGUAAUGGU
rnacentral:rRNA from 1 species